GAAUACAGCAGGUUCUCUGUGAGGAGGACCUGGGGGUCAUCACCACAUGAGUGUCCAGGCAUGGACCAAGAUUGUCGGUCCAGAUCUCGCUGCACAGGAAGCUGAUGACCUUAAGCCCAACUGCCAUACAGAAGGUGACAAGAUUCUAAAUCUGGGACCAAGGAGACCACGAAGUACUUGGUUCUUCUUAUUGAGGAAAGAAAGAUCUGCCAAGUCCAUCCCGAGGAGUCUCCAGGGAACUUCUGCAUUGCGUUUUCCAGAGUGGUGUACUUGGUCCUGGGAAUAUUGACCUGGUGCCGACAGAGCUUCAGCUGGUGAUGGUCUCCAAGUGCUCACUCGCCCCGCGUCCUUCAGACAGCUGCCUGGCCUGGCUUUGGCAUUUUCCAGGCCUAAGUGUGUACAUAAGCGUGUGAGUGUGCUGGCGUUGGGAUGAACAGGGAGGAGUACACGGCAUGAUGACAAGACAGCCGUGCCUGGUAGUGGCUCUCAAGUUGCUUCUCCCUCAGCGAGUCCCAAGCUUGGAAGAUGUUGGGUCCUAGCAGGAGGCCAUGUAGCCUGGCCAGUGCACAGCCACGGGGAGCCUCUUCUCUGAGUGUGCACUUGAGCCCGUGUCAGGGGAACAGCGCACACUUGCUCACAG
rnacentral:lncRNA from 1 species